UUGCUUUGGCAACACAUAUACUGAAAUUGGAAUGAUAUAGAGAAGAUUAGCAUGGUCCCUGC
rnacentral:snRNA from 1 species